GUGAUGUUCAUUUAUGGAUUUUAUGAUUUAAAUUUCAUAAAUACAUGAAAUUUCUUAUUUUGAAAAAUUAAUUAAUAAAUUGUUUAUAAACAAAAUAUAUCAACAAUUUUAUAUUUUAAAAUGAGACUGAAUAGUGUUUUUUUAUUUAUUAAUUCUCUUGAUAUUCCCUACUUAUUAUUUUAUGUUUUUUUUUUCUACUAACCACUUUCCUUUCAAAAUUCAUCAAUCCAAUUCCAAUUUUCACCAAAAUUUUCUCUAAAUUUCAUUUUUGCAGAACUCUUCCCUCUCCAUUUUGCCAUUUUCUCCCAAAAACUCUAGCAAUCUUCUUUACUCUUCUCUCUCCAUUCUGCCAUUUUUCUCCCAAAAACUCGAGCAAUAUUUUUUGAUCCAAUAGAAAGGUAAUCUUCUAGUAAGAGGGCAAUGAGUAUUCAAUUUGUUUGAGAGUUUCUUCCCUUUUUUUUUUCUACUUUUUGUUUGCAAAUUAAAUUUGCAUCUAAAAAACAACUUGUUUUGAUUUUUGUUACAAAUUCUCUUGAUAUUCCUUACAUAUUCUUUUAUGUUUUCCUUUUUCUACUAACCACUUUCCUUUCAAGCUUUGGUUUCAAGAAUUUUUAUUAGCAAUCAUUCCCUUGGGUUUGACAUCCUAACUUGCCACCAAGCUACAGUAAAAAGAAAAAACAAAGAUUAUUUGGAUCAAUGUAUUGUCUACUCGAUUUUUUGGGUUAAAUUUGAUAGAAGAGGAUCUACAAGAGAUCUUUGAUAACAACGCUUCCCAAUCCUCAUGGAGUUGAAGAAUCCAUGGACUAUGGUCACACAUACAUGUAAUAUUACAGUAAAUUUAUCUUUUGGAUUAUUGUAAAACCUUUACCAAUAAUAUAAGUUAAAUUUUUUAUUA